AUGGAAGUGAGGAUCCUUUCCCCAACUGAUCGACUAUGAUUAUACUGUGCGCUACUGUAAUCUUCUAUCAGAGGAUUCCAAGCCAGAACUCUGAUCCAU
rnacentral:snoRNA from 1 species